AAUGUAUUGCUCGAUACUUAUGUCCGUGUCCCGAGUUUGAUCCUCACACGUUUUUUUUUGGUUCCCGCUUCCUUUUUUUUUGGUCCCGCUUCACACUUCGUUCCCUCAAAUGACUUCCCCAAAAUUGCCGCUUCGUUCUCUCAAAUAUUCGGCUUGGUUUUGCACUUCCGCUUAAUUACGUCGUGCCUCCCAUCUCCCACACCUUCUCGUUUUCUGCCUUCCACUCCAUUCUAGGGUUUGAAGCUGGAGCGUACAAAGCCCUCUGCUCAUCUUCGUGAUCGGCGUUCUCUUUUGCGUCCACCGGUGCUACCAGCAAAACAACCUUCCGCCACUGCUGCCGUUCUUCAGCCCUGCUCCUCCGCCAGCGCCGCUUGAAUCGCUCCCCUUAUGUCGUUACUGAUUAACCAUAAAUGCCAUAGCAGGCUUCAAUCGUUCUGUUCAAUCGAAGCUUCAAUCGCUCCUGUCAUCAUUUUGUUCAGUCAGUAGGCUCAGUCAAAGGUUCAAACCUGCUCAAUCGACGGCUAACCAUGCUCAAUCACCGCCUAAACCUGCUCAAUCGAAAGCAAAGUCAAAACAACUUAAAAUCGUUCUUCGAAUUCAAGUCACAAGUUCUCCAAGUCACAAAUGAAUUCAACAAAAAAUGAGCUAACAGAAAAAUAGCGAUUUCCAGAUUCAGGGUAAGGGAGGUACUUGUUACUUCAAUCGUCAUCCGAGGGAGUAGUCGCCACCAGAGAAUCCACCACCGAUCAACAUCGUUUGUUCUCUGUGUGUCGAGACUCACAGGUGGAUGUAUUUUGGAGUAUUGGAAAUAUGUUGCUGCAUUUCAGCCUUGCAAGUGACCUAUGUGCUCCAGUCCAAUUAUCAAAUUGACCCUAGAAGCAACAUUAUCCCAACAGCAGGAUUCAAGGAUCCAUGAUGUUCUCAAGAAUGUUAGGCAGUACAAUUGCCUUUUUGCUGGUGGUGCUUGCAGUUUCAUUCUGGUAGGUUACUUGACUGUUGGCACCAGACAUUGAAGGGGGUAGUUUCGUCUUUUCCCUAAGUUUUUUCUUCUUGAAGCAAUUCUGAAGAAAUCUGAUGAUUGUGAGUUUCUUGUGACAGCAAGUGCUUUAGUUGCCUUUAUUUGUCAAGAGAUUGCUUCAAGCAAUGGUGGAUCCUGAUAGACCUGUUGCUUAUCUUAGUAGAUUGCUUUAGUUGCAGUUAAGAAAUAGCAACAUUCUUUCAUUUACUUGUUUAUUAUGAUUACAUGCAUUUAGGUGCUAAGUUUUGAAGGAAUUGCUGAAUCUUAUUACUUGUUUGCAAGUGUUUCUUGGUGCUCUUUAUACACUUAGCCCUUUUGACAUCCUCCCAUGAUGUAAGUUAUCUAUUCAAUGUUGUUUAAUACAAAUGUGUGCAAUUUUUACCUUUA